rnacentral:lncRNA from 1 species
UUAAAGUAAAAUAAUAAUAGUAUGUAUGGUGCAGUCACAAAUUUCUUUAAAGACCAAAAGCUUAAAAUAUUUAAUAAAAAACUAAAUAAUCAAUUAAUAUGAAUUUAAACAUAAGUAAUGCAAAUAACCUAAAAAUAUAUAAAUGAGUUACAACUUUAUCAUUCCAUUAAAUACUAUUUUCUCCACUAAAGAGGUUUCACUUUCAAAACUCUC